AGAGUUUGAUCCUGGCUCAGGAUGAACGCUAGCUACAGGCUUAACACAUGCAAGUCGAGGGGCAGCAUCAUCAAAGCUUGCUUUGAUGGAUGGCGACCGGCGCACGGGUGAGUAACACGUAUCCAACCUGCCGACAACACUGGGAUAGCCUUUCGAAAGAAAGAUUAAUACCGGAUGGCAUAGUUUUCCCGCAUGGGAUAAUUAUUAAAGAAUUUCGGUUGUCGAUGGGGAUGCGUUCCAUUAGGCAGUUGGCGGGGUAACGGCCCACCAAACCAACGAUGGAUAGGGGUUCUGAGAGGAAGGUCCCCCACAUUGGAACUGAGACACGGUCCAAACUCCUACGGGAGGCAGCAGUGAGGAAUAUUGGUCAAUGGACGAGAGUCUGAACCAGCCAAGUAGCGUGAAGGAUGACUGCCCUAUGGGUUGUAAACUUCUUUUAUACGGGAAUAAAGUUAGCCACGUGUGGCUUUUUGUAUGUACCGUAUGAAUAAGGAUCGGCUAACUCCGUGCCAGCAGCCGCGGUAAUACGGAGGAUCCGAGCGUUAUCCGGAUUUAUUGGGUUUAAAGGGAGCGUAGGCGGGUUGUUAAGUCAGUUGUGAAAGUUUGCGGCUCAACCGUAAAAUUGCAGUUGAUACUGGCGACCUUGAGUGCAACAGAGGUAGGCGGAAUUCGUGGUGUAGCGGUGAAAUGCUUAGAUAUCACGAAGAACUCCGAUUGCGAAGGCAGCUUACUGGAUUGUAACUGACGCUGAUGCUCGAAAGUGUGGGUAUCAAACAGGAUUAGAUACCCUGGUAGUCCACACAGUAAACGA
rnacentral:rRNA from 1 species